rnacentral:rRNA from 1 species
UGCUGGAGCGAAUAGAAGUGAGCAUGCAGGCAUGAGUAGCGAUAAUUAAUGUGAGAAUCAUUAACGCCGUAAACCCAAGGUUUCCUACGCGAUGCUCGUCAUCGUAGGGUUAGUCGGGUCCUAAGUCGAGUCCGAAAGGGGUAGACGAUGGCAAAUUGGUUAAUAUUCCAAUACCAACAUUAGUGUGCGAUGGAAGGACGCUUAGGGCUAAGGGGGCUAGCGGAUGGAAGUGCUAGUCUAAGGUCGUAGGAGGUUAUACAGGCAAAUCCGUAUAACAAUACUCCGAGAACUGAAAGGCUUUUUGAAGUCUUCGGAUGGAUAGAAGAACCCCUGAUGCCGUCGAGCCAAGAAAAGUUUCUAAGUUUAGCUAAUGUUGCCCGUACCGUAAACCGACACAGGUGGGUGGGAUGAGUAUUCUAAGGCGCGUGGAAGAACUCUCUUUAAGGAACUCUGCAAAAUAGCACCGUAUCUUCGGUAUAAGGUGUGGUUAGCCUUGUAUUAGGAUUUACUCCGAAAGCAAGGAAACUUACAACAAAGAGUCCCUCCCGACUGUUUACCAAAAACACAGCACUCUGCUAACUCGUAAGAGGAUGUAUAGGGUGUGACGCCUGCCCGGUGCUCGAAGGUUAAUUGAUGGGGUUAGCAUUAGCGAAGCUCUUGAUCGAAGCCCGAGUAAACGGCGGCCGUAACUAUAACGGUCCUAAGGUAGCGAAAUUCCUUGUCGGUUAAAUACCGACCUGCAUGAAUGGCGUAACGAGAUGGGAGCUGUCUCAAAGAGGGAUCCAGUGAAAUUGUAGUGGAGGUGAAAAUUCCUCCUACCCGCGGCAAGACGGAAAGACCCCGUGGACCUUUACUACAGCUUGACACUGCUAUUUGGAUAAGAAUGUGCAGGAUAGGUGGGAGGCUUUGAGUAUAUGACGCCAGUUGUAUAUGAGCCAUUGUUGAGAUACCACUCUUUCUUAUUUGGGUAGCUAACCAGCUUGAGUUAUCCUCAAGUGGGACAAUGUCUGGUGGGUAGUUUGACUGGGGCGGUCGCCUCCCAAAUAAUAACGGAGGCUUACAAAGGUUGGCUCAGAACGGUUGGAAAUCGUUCGUAGAGUAUAAAGGUAUAAGCCAGCUUAACUGCAAGACAUACAAGUCAAGCAGAGACGAAAGUCGGUCUUAGUGAUCCGGUGGUUCUGUGUGGAAGGGCCAUCGCUCAAAGGAUAAAAGGUACCCCGGGGAUAACAGGCUGAUCUCCCCCAAGAGCUCACAUCGACGGGGAGGUUUGGCACCUCGAUGUCGGCUCAUCGCAUCCUGGGGCUGGAGCAGGUCCCAAGGGUAUGGCUGUUCGCCAUUUAAAGCGGUACGCGAGCUGGGUUCAGAACGUCGUGAGACAGUUCGGUCCCUAUCUGCCGUGGGCGUAAGAAGAUUGAAGAGAUUUGACCCUAGUACGAGAGGACCGGGUUGAACAAACCACUGGUGUAGCUGUUGUUCUGCCAAGAGCAUCGCAGCGUAGCUAAGUUUGGAAAGGAUAAACGCUGAAAGCAUCUAAGCGUGAAGCCAACUCUAAGAUGAAUCUUCUCUAAGCUCUCUAGAAGACUACUAGUUUGAUAGGCUGGGUGUGUAAUGGAUGAAAGUCCUUUAGCUGACCAGUACUAAUAGAGCGUUUGGCUUAUCUUUAAUAAAGCAU